UAAAACUAGCCUUCCAAGCUAACGAUGC
rnacentral:tRNA from 1 species